rnacentral:rRNA from 1 species
GACGAACGCAGGCGGCGUGCUUAACACAUGCAAGUCGAACGGUAAGGCCCUUCGGGGUACACGAGUGGCGAACGGGUGAGUAACACGUGGGUGAUCUGCCCUGCACUUCGGGAUAAGCCUGGGAAACUGGGUCUAAUACCGGAUAGGACUCCUGGCUUCAUGGUUGGGGGUGGAAAGCUUUUGCGGUGUGGGAUGGGCCCGCGGCCUAUCAGCUUGUUGGUGGGGUAAUGGCCUACCAAGGCGACGACGGGUAGCCGGCCUGGGAGGGUGACCGGUCACACUGGGACUGAGAUACGGCCCAGACUCCUACGGGGGGCAGCAGUGGGGAAUAUUGCACAAUGGGCGCAAGCCUGAUGCAGCGACGCCGCGUGAAGGAUGACGGCCUUCGGGUUGUAAACCUCUUUCAGCACCGACGAAGCGCAAGUGACGGUAGGUGCAGAAGAAGGACCGGCCAACUACGUGCCAGCCGCCGCCGUAA